GCUCAUGACGAACGCUGGCGGCGUGCCUAAUACAUGCAAGUAGAACGCUGAAGAGAGGAGCUUGCUCUUCUUGGAUGAGUUGCGAACGGGUGAGUAACGCGUAGGUAACCUGCCUUGUAGCGGGGGAUAACUAUUGGAAACGAUAGCUAAUACCGCAUAACAAUAGGUGACACAUGUCAUUUAUUUGAAAGGGGCAAUUGCUCCACUACAAGAUGGACCUGCGUUGUAUUAGCUAGUAGGUGAGGUAACGGCUCACCUAGGCGACGAUACAUAGCCGACCUGAGAGGGUGAUCGGCCACACUGGGACUGAGACACGGCCCAGACUCCUACGGGAGGCAGCAGUAGGGAAUCUUCGGCAAUGGGGGCAACCCUGACCGAGCAACGCCGCGUGAGUGAAGAAGGUUUUCGGAUCGUAAAGCUCUGUUGUAAGUCAAGAACGAGUGUGAGAGUGGAAAGUUCACACUGUGACGGUAGCUUACCAGAAAGGGACGGCUAACUACGUGCCAGCAGCCGCGGUAAUACGUAGGUCCCGAGCGUUGUCCGGAUUUAUUGGGCGUAAAGCGAGCGCAGGCGGUUUGAUAAGUCUGAAGUUAAAGGCUGUGGCUCAACCAUAGUUCGCUUUGGAAACUGUCAAACUUGAGUGCAGAAGGGGAGAGUGGAAUUCCAUGUGUAGCGGUGAAAUGCGUAGAUAUAUGGAGGAACACCGGUGGCGAAAGCGGCUCUCUGGUCUGUAACUGACGCUGAGGCUCGAAAGCGUGGGGAGCGAACAGGAUUAGAUACCCUGGUAGUCCACGCCGUAAACGAUGAGUGCUAGGUGUUGGAUCCUUUCCGGGAUUCAGUGCCGCAGCUAACGCAUUAAGCACUCCGCCUGGGGAGUACGACCGCAAGGUUGAAACUCAAAGGAAUUGACGGGGGCCCGCACAAGCGGUGGAGCAUGUGGUUUAAUUCGAAGCAACGCGAAGAACCUUACCAGGUCUUGACAUCCCGAUGCUAUUUCUAGAGAUAGAAAGUUACUUCGGUACAUCGGUGACAGGUGGUGCAUGGUUGUCGUCAGCUCGUGUCGUGAGAUGUUGGGUUAAGUCCCGCAACGAGCGCAACCCCUAUUGUUAGUUGCCAUCAUUCAGUUGGGCACUCUAGCGAGACUGCCGGUAAUAAACCGGAGGAAGGUGGGGAUGACGUCAAAUCAUCAUGCCCCUUAUGACCUGGGCUACACACGUGCUACAAUGGUUGGUACAACGAGUUGCGAGUCGGUGACGGCAAGCUAAUCUCUUAAAGCCAAUCUCAGUUCGGAUUGUAGGCUGCAACUCGCCUACAUGAAGUCGGAAUCGCUAGUAAUCGCGGAUCAGCACGCCGCGGUGAAUACGUUCCCGGGCCUUGUACACACCGCCCGUCACACCACGAGAGUUUGUAACACCCGAAGUCGGUGAGGUAACCUUUUGGAGCCAGCCGCCUAAGGUGG
rnacentral:rRNA from 1 species